CAAUAUUAACCCAACGGAAAAAACCCGAACUUGUGUCAGUAAGUUAGAACUUUUGGAAGGGAAAUAACUCCACUCCGGGCGGGGAAUCGUGGAUAAAUUCAUUUUGCAUCCAUAAAAAAAUAGAGAAACUGUGACUCAUUUAAGGUUGUCACAGUGUUACGAAGAGGUAUUUAUAUAGUAUGCGAAUUGUUGUUCUGUUUUCUUAUGCCGAAUGUACGUUUGUUUAUUAAAUUCAUUGCAAUAAUAGAACCCCAAAGUCAGAUGAAAAGUAAAAAUGGGAAACACUUCCGUGUGUAAAGAGAAUUCUAGUCAAAUCGGCACCUGGUUAAAUCGGCACUUGGUCAAAUCGGCACCCAGUAUAGUCAAAUCGGCACCUAGUCAAAUUGGCACCUGGUUAAAUCGGCACUUGAUGUAGUCAAUUCGGCACCCAUGUUAAAUUUGUUUAAUAUAUGAUGUGUACAAAAUAUAACUUUGUACAAUUUAUAAUUUGUACAGGGUUUUUGGAAAAUGACGCAGUCAUUGUUCCAUUACUGGCGACCUGAACUUCAUUACAUUUCUCUGCCUACCGCGAUUGGUUUCGUAUUUACUAUUUUCUAUACAAACUGGAAUUUGCUUGUGUUAUCAUUAUGCAUGAGAGGUCAUUGUGUAGUAAUCAGCCAGGAACCAGUUUACAAACUAACUGGUUUCUGCUUGUUUUCCACUACACUCGAACGAAGUGUUGUAGUUUGACGGGAACCAGUUUAGAAUUUGUAAACUACAAAACGUAAUCGGUUAUUGUUCAUUCCGUUUUGGUGUUUCAUACCGACUUUUAUGGUUUGAAUAAGCUUAAGACCCUUCAAACAUGAAUGUGAUAGGUAGAUUAAAGACUGUUUUACAAAAGGAUGGAACUGUUUUGCUUUCAAAGUCGUACUAUAGUGAUAUCUGUUAUGUACGGAUUUCCACUCUCACCGGUUAAUUUCUUCUUUUACACGUGCUUUUGAAACUUCCUGUUUAAACAUCGCAAGUUUUAAAAUUGUUUUUUGAGUGAAUUUAACUUAUUUUAACAAUCAUGAAGCGUUCCAGAAUUAUUUUCAAGCAGUUUCUUCUUCUCUUUGAUGAUGGAAAAUAGGUUUUUCUCAAGAAAAUACCGCAAACGAUCGCAGAGGAAUUGAAACGUACAAGUCAAGUCGGCACCUGGUUAAAUUGGCAUCUUGUCAAAUCGGCACCUAUUUGACGUCAAUUCGGCAUCCAAUAAUAUUUGUUAUAAUAUUUUCUAUUCAAUUAAUUAAUAACUGUUACCAAGUACAUAGUGAAUAUGUUGUUGUGUAUUUAGGUAAACAACGAAACCAAAGUGAAAUUAUGUUGUUGUGUAUAAAGGUAAACAAGGAAGCCCUUACCCAAGCUGUUGUUUUAACAAUUAGACAAUUAUUAAAAUAAAAUGGAAAACUAUGAGUCCCUUUCAAUAAAUUAAACUUUCAUGCCAAAUAAUAAGCAAAUUUAAGGUGUUUUUUUUUCAGUAAAGUUUAAAAAGCAUUAAGCAAACAAUCCUAUAAAAUGCUCAACUGGUUUAAAUAAUGCAUAAAAAUAUCCAAUAUCUCAUGUAUUAGUCCAAAUAAUUAUGACGUCUGGCAAGGCUAUUUUAUUUUUUUUCUGUGAUGUCUUCCUACGAAGUUCGUAGGAAGGCGUCCCAGAAAAAAAUUUAACAUAGCCUUGCAGUCAUAGAAAGGUGUCCCAGAAUAAAAUUUAAAAAGCCUUGCCAGACGUAAUAAUUAUUUUGACUACUCCUAUAUAUAUCAUUAAAAAUACACCAAAAAAGUCAUUAAGUUGAGAAAAAUAAAUAUAUACAAAAUGUACAUGAACACCCAAAAAUGUGAAAGUUAGUAUUUAACUCUUUUUGCUUAAAUACUGAAAAAAAAAUUCUGGCAACCCUUACUUAUUUUUACUCUUUUUGCUUAAAAUACUGUUAAAAUUUAUAUUUAACAUGGGUGACGAAUUGACUAUAUCAGGUGUCGAUUUAACCAGGUGCUGAUUUGUCCAGGUGCCAAUUUAACCAGGUGCCGGUUUGACUAGAAUUCUUUGACAAAUGUUUGAAAUUACCUGAGUUUCAUGAGACCUUUGAUAACAGUAACAAAAAGAUUAUUUACUUAAUAUUUUGUGGGAGAAGGGGGUUCAGACAAUGUGGUAUCAGGUCUGUUCGCGCCCAAUACACUUUCGCACCCUACACGUUCGCACCUCGCACGUUCGCACCGCACCCAAGGUCCGUUUGCACUCUACUCAUUCGCGCCCAAUUUUAAUUCAAAUUCAAGUUGAAUAAUUGGAAAAUCAUGAUUGUUGUUUUAAAUUGCUUUGGUGUAAAUACUGAAUGUAUUUAUAGCUUGGUAUGAGUAAAACAUUGAAGAUUUUAAAGGAAAAACACAAAAGAUAAUUGUUUUUAACAGCUUGGUCCCUUUGAUCUGAAACAACGAAACAAUAAAAUAUAGGAACCAAAAUAUAGCAAUCCACUAUUAUAACCAAAACAUGAUAAAAUCUAUUCAACACACAGAAAAAAACAUAGUCAGAAUCUCACUUCAUUUUGAAAGAAGUCAAUGAAACAAAGUUAUAGCAAUACACUAACCAAAACAUGAUUAAGAGUUAUACAACACAAAAUAAAACGUUGACAAAAUACCACUUUAUUUAGAAAGGAUUAUUAUAAUUUUUAACAAUACGCUAUCUAAAACAUGAUUAAGAUUUAUUCAACACAAAAAAAAAUGCUGUCUCACUUUAUUUUGAGACAAUGACAACAAUUAUACUUAUAAGAAAACACUUGCUUACAGAGUUAUUAAACACAAAACCAAUUAAGAUUGGGUGCGAACAUGUAGGGUGUGAAAGUGAAAGGGGCGAACAUGAGCGGGCGCGAACAGACCCAGAUUCAGACUCAGACUAUGUACCAGCGAGAAAUAUACAAGCCUUUCUACGGUAUUUAUUUGUACAAUUCAGGUAGUCUUGACCUAUUCAUUUGUCUUAAAAAACAGCCAGUUGUCACCUUCACUUCACACACACACACACAUAUACGAAUAUCAAUUAUAUGCUUACCGUUACGAGACAUGUUGCAUUGUUAAACUAAUUACGGUAUGUGAAAAUCAAGACUUGCAUAAAAACUAUCCCAAUAUUAGAGACAGUGGCGUCAUUUUUCUUCAGAGCUUUCAGCUCUUUGAUUGUACAAGUUAUAAGUUUUUUGACACACAUUUUCUUACACCAGGUGAUACAAGUUUAUCUUUAAAAAUGUUCUAGUUCAAUCUUUAAAUUCAAAUUUAUAUACUUUAACUUAACAUUUCGUACUAUUAUCCUUGUCCUCACAAUGGAAAUGAGGAUACCCGAAUAGUUUACAUUCGAAUUUUAAUUUCUCCUGAUACCACAUAUAUCCAUAAAAAGUCUUUUUGUGGUCUAAUCAUGUUUGUGUAUUAAUUCUCGCUAUUAGAUUAUAUCAUAUAGUUGUGAAAAUAUGACAGAAAUAUGCGAAACAAAAGCUGGUGUUACAUUGUGUUUUCACUAUGUACUUGAUUAAAGUUAUUUAUUAAUUGAAAAGAAAACUUAUCAAAACCAUGAAAACAUCAGUCACAUAAUGUUGAGAAAACUUUAAAUGAUCAACUUUUGUAUUUUUACAGCUUGAUGCUUUUUAACAAAAUAAAUCAUGAUCGAAUUUAUACAUUUUUAGAAAUAUCUAUAUAUAUUUGGGACUAUUAUGCUAGUAUACUUAAAUUACUAACUUAGCAUAAUAGUCCCAGUCCCAUAUAUUAUAUCAAAUAUUAUUGGAUGCCGAAUUGACUUUAAAUAGGUGCCGAUUUGACUAGAUGCCGAUUUAACCAGGUGCCGAUUUGACUUUUUCUAUGGGUGCCGAUUUGACCAGGUGCCGAUUUGACUUGUACCCUUGUCAAGACUCUGUUGGCUGUCAUGUAUUGACUGGUACAGUAAUUUAUUAUCUAGUGUCAUAUUGCUGCUCUUAAGUUUUUAUUCAUUUAUAGAGUAAAAUCUAGUUUAAAACAGAUAAAAUCAAAAAUAGAAUGGUUUGCAAAAAAAAAUGUAAUAAUGGUAGGAAACAACCCCCUGAAGGGAGAGAUCCCCCAAAUGAUAGAUUGGAAUCAGCUGCCAUCAUAAAUAGUGUCAUGCAAUACUGUGUGUACAGACAUUUAGUGGGUAUGAUCUCAGAAUCUUCUCUCAUCCCUAAUUUUCUAUCCCUUUACUAUUGUUGUUAUCAUGGUUAUCAAAUGUAUACAGAUUUAUCUAAAUGUUCAGUCAGAGCUCAGACAUAAACAAGUCUAUUUCUGUUUUUGACUUAAAGAAGUCAAAACAUGUAUUCUUUAUAAAAAUGUGUUUUCAAUUUUAGACUUAUCUAAGUCACAAAAUGACAGACUUGUUUAGGUCUAUUUAUGUUGAUGAAAAAACUUAACUUGACUUGGUGGCCAAACUACACCACCUUUGACAGUAAAAACCUGUCUGAGAGUUCACAAGGACUUGAUCUACAUGUAUCUAUAUUUAAUUAUCUAAUUGAACAUCCUUACUAAACACAGAUGUUUUACCUCAUUAAUUGUGGAUCCAGGUGGUUGCAUUGUAAGGUUAAUUAACAUGAUCCCCGAUUUUUCAGACUCUCAUUCAUAUUUUUCUUUAGAAGACAAGGCAGUGGCUUUCAAUGUUGUCAUUAUUUGAUUUAGAUGCAUGACCUUUUUAUAAGUAUGCGUGGGUCUUGAAGUUGACCAAUUUUGGUAACUUAUCGACUUGUAGGAGUUGAUAUUUGCAACUUUUUGAUUCUGGUCAAUCAUUUCUUGCUUAACAAUAUUUGACUUAUUUAAGUCGUAUUUUGUCUUGCAUUAAAGGGAGACAAAUCCUAAAACUUACAAAUUUAGACACCUAUAAGUCAAAAGCAGAUUCAGACUUAUUUAUGUCUGAGCUCUGACUGAUGUUAUUUUUCAAAUGUACAUACUUUUAAUUUUGUUUCUUUUUUGACUGGUUACCCUGUAAAUUAUAAAAACAAAUUAAAAUGGACGCCUGGUGAAUAUCUUCAGUAAAUGAAGAAUGGCUAGACACUGAACAAUGCUGAAAGAAAAAGAGGGAAUUCUUAUUUUUAUAUAAUUCAAAGAAGAUAUAAGAACAAUUAUGUUACAUAAUUAUUGGACAAUAUAGAGUGGGGUGCUCAUUUUCGCCGGGGACACAAUUUCGCCGUUUAAGGAUUUUGAGGUGUAAAAACUUCAAAGGAUGGCUGAAAUGGAAGAAAUGUACCAUAAUUAUAUUUUUAUAACAAAUAUAAUAUUUUUUUAAACUGAGACAAAAUUGCGGCUCCUACCGAAAAUGACCGAAAAACGGACAACGAUUUUCGGACAAUUUCGUGAAUAAAAAACCUUUGAAAUGUCGGCUAUUCAUCUAUAAUGCAAUCGAUUUGAUAAAAAUUGUUAAAAGCUGCGGUUAUUUGGUUUUAAAUAGAUGUGUAAAAACGGCGAAUAUGUGUCCUCCAUUGACAAAACAUCCGGAAAUUUCAAACACCCUUUAAGGUAACUUUUCAGAUGAUUUUCUUAAAACAAACCGGUUUUCAAGCUUAAGUAUAUUUUGCAUUUGAAGUCAUCUUCAUAUAGAAAUAUCAGUAUACUUCAAAAACAUUUAGACCUGAACAUAAACUGUAGAAAACAUGGAAAGAUGUGGCGAAAAUGAGCACCCCAUUCUACAUGUAAUACCAGAUAUAGAUCAUAAGAUGUAUAGUUCUGUUGGAAAAGGUUCUUCAAAUAAUAAACACAAAAUGUAAAUAUGUUAUCACUAAGGCCAGAGACAUAUAAUUGUAUUAUCAAUGUCUCUUCUUAGGCUAAUGAUGACUUUUCAAUACUCAAACAGUUUAUUUUUUUACUGAAGUAUACAAAUUAAUUAACAUGAUUUAUAAGGUAAACUAAACUACUUAAACAUGUUAAUUAUUUAUAAAAUAAGAAUAACAAAAAGGUUCAUUUAUUCACCCUAAACACUGUUUAAGAUGUUUUUCAUUGUAAUCAGAAUGUAAUCAAAAUGUUAUCAGGAUUACAGGGUAUUUUGAAAAGUAAUUGAUUAAAUUAAAUUACAUGUACUAGUAAUCAGAUUUUUGGCUGAUUAUAAAUGAUUACUAUGAUUACUUGGAAAAUUGUAACAGCUGUUUAACGAUUACAAUUAUAAUUACCUCAAGUCUGUAUAUGGGACAUUCAUGGGUGUAAAGUGCACGAAAGGACAUGUAUCGUGAAAUAAACAAUAUGCUUCGUCAGGAAUGGUUGUGGCUACCUUAGCAACAAAUUAGUCAACUUUUGGCAUGAAUCAGAAGACAUUAAGAUGCGGUUAUCUGUUUGAAUGGAGGUUCGGCACAAAGUACUAAUUCUUUGGCAUAUAACGAUCAACCAUGUGAACAAUCAUGUGAAGAAUAAUUUUGAAAUGUCUGACAUUGUAAAGUUCGACUACAGUAAAAGUUGUAAAAUGCAUUUUUUUGUACAAAAAACACUUCAUUUUGUUAUAAAAAGUUUGGUUAGAUAAAACGUUUUUUUUCAUACAUUUUUUGUUCGUUUUAAUGCCAAUGUUAUCAUUAACUACGUUUCAAUAUUAUUUUACAAAUAUUUUAUCAUAUUCCAUCCAAAAUAAGAGGCUGAUUUUUCAAGUUUUAAGAAAUUUUAGCAUAAGUAAUCCUUUAUCUCCAUACAUGUUCAUACAUUGUCAUUCAAUGCCAAUUUUUGUCAAGCCUGCAACUUUUGUCACAGAAAGCUCAACAUAGGGAUAGUGAUCAGGCUGCUUUAUAUUUUAGAAGUUGGAAAACCUAUAUAUAUAGCUAGAUGCUUCAUACUAUCUAUAAUACUAAAAUUACGAGGUCCAAUUUGCCAGCCGUCAUCACGUAAAAACGACGAAUCAAAGAAUUCAGCUUUAUAUAUAACUAAUAUAGUACAAAGGUGUAGAUUAAACAUUACACCACUCCAGGCCCUUUUGUUUUCCAUGUAAUUAAUAUUGCCAAUAAUUAAGAAGUUCCGGGUCAAGUCCUAUACCGAUACCAAUAUUAUAUUCACCUGUUACCUAUUACCUUAUCUGUACAUUCCGCAUCUCUAACAGGUGCAUCACCAAACAGUGUAUUUAGGAUUAUGCUAUAUACACGGAUCAUAAUCACAGGGUUGACACUACUAAAUUCAAUCAUUGUCCAAUUGUUACCUAUUGUUGUAUUUUAAUCAGUAAGACUUUCUAAGAUAACAAUACGAAUACUAAAAAUAAGGUGCAUAUAGGAACCGUUUUCAAUUUGUUAGUGGGCAUGACAUUAAACAGUGAUAAGGGGCGUAGCUAGAAACAAACCAUGUGCAAGCAACUUCUGCCGAGCGGAACGAGGCGAAAAAAUUUUGGGACCUUUUUAUGCAGAAAAAUGUUUUCUUUUCCGGUUUUCGGUCAUAGGACGGUUAAAAGAGGAGCUAUAUGUAGAUAGGAUUAUAAAAAAAUUUAUGAAUGUAAAACUAUUAAUAAAUCUUUGAAUAGAGUAAUACAUAACAACAAAAUGAGAAUGGAAAUGGGGAAUGUGCCAAAGAAACAACAACCCGACCACAGAGCAGACAACAGCAGAAGGUCACCAACAGGUCUUUAAUGCAAGGAGAAAUUCCCGCACCCGGAGGUGUCCUUCAGCUGGCCCCUAAACAAAUAUAUACUAGUUCAGUGACGAUGAACGCCAUACUAAACUCCAAAUUGUACACAAGAAACUAAAAGUUAAAAUAAUACAAGACUAACAAAGGCUCCUGACUUGGGACAGGUGCAAAAAUGCGGCGGGGUUGAACAUGUUUGUGAGAUCUCAACCUCCCCCUAUACUCUAGCCAAUGCAGAAAAGUACGUAUAACAAUCGCCACAUUAAAAUUCACAUAUUUGUGAUACAGAAUUUACUCAAAAUUGUCCAAAAUUCUGCUCUUCGGGUCUAGCAGAAACAAACUUCUCUAUUACUUUAAUUGUCAAUAUUCACACUGAAAUGCCGAUGAAUAUGCAGUAAUGAUAGUAACUGUCGUCGUUCAUUGUUGAUCGUACAUUUGUUUUCAACAUACGCACAUAAUAAUAAGACUUUCCAAUACUGUUUUGGCGUGUUUGCAGGGUGAUUGGCUCUGGUAGUCUGUCGACCACAUCGCCUCGGCAUAUUUUUUCCGCGAUAUCACGGGUGUGUUCUAGUGUAUAUAAAUGCCAUAUGUUACAAAGUUUCCAUCCGUCACAUGUUCAUUGUCCUUGACCUCAUUUUCAUGGUUCAGUGACUACUUGAAAAAAAAGUUGAGAAGUUUUGUUGUUAAUUUAUCUCUCACUAUAGAUGGAUUCAUUUAUUUUGGUAUGUGAAGUAAAACUUCAAAAUCACAAUUUUAGACAAAACUUCAAAUUUGCUUCUCAAAUAAGUGAUUUAAAAAUCACUUAUUUCAGUAAGUCUCCUCAGACUGUUUAUGGUUUCUCUGUUCAGGUCUACAAAAUUCACAAAAAUUGGUAUCCAGCGAAUAUUAAUAAAUCUACAGUAUUAUGAGUAAUAGGAUAACUAUAUUUGGUAUGUGCAUAACUUGCAAGGUCCUUUUGUCUGUCAGACAGUUUUCAUUUGACCUUGACCUCAUUUUAUGGAUCAGUGAACAAGGUAAAGUUUUGGUGGUCAAGUCCAUAUCUCAGAUACUGUUAGCAAUAGGUCUAGUUAAUUUGGUGUAUGGAAGGGUUGUAAGGUGUACAUUUCCAUCUGACAGGCAUCAUCUGACCUUGACUUCAUUUUAAUGGUUCAUUGGUUAAAGUUUAGUUUUUGUGUAUUGGUCUUUUUUUCUAAUACAUACAUGUACUAAAUUCAAUAGGUUAACUAUGUUUGGAGUGUGGAAAUAUUUUAUUAUUUAUAUGUUUUGGUCUGUUAUUCUCAAACUAUAAGCAAUAGGUAAACUAUAUUUGUUGUAUAGAAGGAUUAUAAGCUGUACCUGUCUGCCUUGCAUGGUUCGUCUGACCUUUUCCUCAUUAUAUUUUCUUGGUCAAGUCUGUUUCCUAGAAACUAUAAGCAUGAUAAGCAUUAGUAUAGGUCAACUAUAUUUAGUGUAUUGAUUGAUUGUAAGGUGUACAUGUAUUUCUUGUUUGGUUUAUAUCAUAUAAACCAAACAAGAAAAUGAGGUCAAGGUCAUAUAAAUUAUAUGACCUUGACCUCAUUUUCUUGAAUCAUGUUAUUUAAGUUUAAAUGUGAUAGUUAGUGGUUAGUGAAGAAGGCGAGACAUCUCAGUGUGUGCACUCUUGUGUUAUAAAGUAAUUCAGUAAUUAAAUUCCUUGUCUGAAGUUCUUAACAAGGUAUUGAUAAGAUAAAAAAUUAGAUAAAGAUCUAAAGUCAGUUAUUCUUGCACUUACAGACAUGUGAUUCUUCCAGCAUGAGUAGUAAUCUCCCAAUUCUCAAGCCUAUAAUUCUGUCCCUCCUGUUCAAAAUUCAAACCCAUAUUUUGAAAAUUUUGAUCCCCAAAAAAUUGCCAAUCUCUGUUUUUUUUACAUUCUUAAAUGUAGUUUAAAUGAAUUUAACAUUUUGUUGAACAGAAAUUGCUAUGGUUUUUUCAAUAUGACAUUUUCAAAAUGGAGAAAUAUAAAAGGACUACUGGUAGUCAAAAGUAUAUUAUUAAUUACAGAAUUAGAUUUGUAAUAUUCACUAUAAAAUAAGGUUUUGGUUAUUCUAGAAUGACUGAGAUAGAUUCUGCAUAUUCUGUAAGUUACAUAUACAUAUGACAAUGUAUGAUGUAUGUACAGUUAUGGGUAGUAUACUAACUACAUUAUGUGGGUUAUUACCUUUAAGUCAUAAUAUGGAAAAUAACUAUUGGAAACUUACAGUUUCUUCCUGCUGCAUAUUUCGACAUAAACCCGAAUGAGGAUAUUCAACUUCAAGUAUAAAUGGUUUUAUCCACUUUUUACACAUGUACAUAUGUAGAUCUAACAAAAACCCUUCAACUUAAAAAUUUAAACACUCAUUUUUAUACGACCGCAAAAAUUUUAAUUUUUUGGUCGUAUAUUGCUAUCACGUUGGCGUCGUUGUCGUCGUCAUCCGAAUACUUUUAGUUUUCGCACUCUAACUUUAGUAAAAGUGAAUAGAAAUCAAUGAAAUUUUAAGACAAGGUUUAUGACAACAAAAGGAAGGUUGGGAUUGAUUUUGGGAGUUUUGGUCCCAACAUUUUAGGAAUUAGGGGCAAAAAAGGGCCCAAAUAAGCAUUUUCUUGGUUUUCGCACUAUAACUUUAGUUUAAGUGAAUAGAAACUAUGAAAUUUUUGACAAAGGUUUAUGACCACAAAGGAAGGUUGGGAUUGAUUUUAGGAGUUUUUGGUUCCAACAGUUUAGAAAUUAAGGGCCAAAAAAGGGCCCAAAUAAGCAUUAUUCUAGGUUUUCGCACAAUAACUUUAGUAUAAGCAAAUAGAAAUCUAUGAAAUUUAAACACAAGGUUUAUGACCAUAAAAGGAAGGUUGGGUUUGAUUUUGGGAGUUUUGGUCCUAACAGUUUUAGGAAUAAGGGGCCCAAAGGGUCAAAAUUGAACUUUGUGUGAUUUCAUCAAAAAAUUGAAUAUUGGGGUUCUUUGAUAUGGCCGAAUCUAACUAUGUAUGUAGAUUCUUAAUUUUGGUCCCGUUUCAAAUUGGUCUACAUUAAGUCCAAAGGGUCCAAAUUAAACUAAGUUUGAUUUUUAACAAAAUUGAUCCUUGGGUUCUUUGAUAUGCUGAAUUUAAAAAUGUAUUAGAUUUUUAAUUAUUGGCCUAGUUUUCAAGUUGGUCCAAAUGGGGGUCCAAAAUUAAACUUUGUUUGAUUUCAUCAAAAAUUGAAUAAAUCGGUUCUUUGAUAUGCCAAAUCUAACUGUGUAUGUAGAUUCUUAAUUUUUGUCAAGUUUUCAAAUUGGUCUACAUUAAGGUCCAAAGGGUCCAAAAUUAAACUAAGUUUGAUUUCAACAAAAAUUAAAUUCUUGGGCUUAUUUGAUAUGCUUUAUCUAAAUAUGUACUUUGAUUUUUGAUUAGGCCAGGGUUCUUUAAUUUGUUGGUUUACGGAUUUUCCCCAUGAAAAAGUCAGGUCGGCCAGUCGCGAAAAAAAAGAAAAAAAAUAUCUCUCAAGACAGAAAAAUAUUCCAAAAAAAUAUAUUCCACCUUUCUAACAAUAUGUUUGGUUUGCUAUUAGUUCAUCAUUUCUUAUACAUUAGUUCUGGUGAAAGACAUGAUUUCAGAAAUGACCUAUUGCUCAGCUGCCAUAAUCAUCACAUGACAUCGUCUAAUAAUUUUCUGUGAAAAAAGGGGGUUUGUGUCCACGGAUAAAGACACAAUCAAAUUGUCAUUUCACAAACAUAUAUAGCCCUUGAUAAAUUUCAGGAAACUAGGUGGUUAAUGAUCUUCAACCACGAAAACUGUUAAAUAAAAAAGCAAAAAUGUUGUACGAAAAAUAAGUGUCAACACACAUGUCAAAAACGUAAUAGACUUGUCCUCAGGAAAAACAAGGAUAUUGGGUUCAUCAGUUGUCAUGCAUUCCCGUCUUUUAAUAUCCAAAUGGACGAAGAAUUUUUUUUAUUAUCAAUGACACAAGUCUGAAGAAAAUUCUAAAGGAUUAGUUUUAAUUAAGUUCUUCAACUUGAUGUCUUCCAUGGUUAGACAAGCUAGUUCAUUUUCCAUUUUACUAUCUUAUGGAAUGAUGACAAAGCGGGAAACAAACUUAAUGUGUAAUGGGUUUUAAACACCGGUUUCGUUCCACAAAAUUAUUUGCGCAAACAACAUUUCAAGGUCAGUUAUGAUUGAUUUGUCUAUUUUCAAAUGCGUAAAUUGGAAAUUUUAGUUUUCACAACUAAACAGAAAGUGUUCUCAAUUCCGUUAGUGUUUAAUGCAUUUCAUUUCAUAAAAAAAAGAUGUUUUAUUUAUUUUUUAGAGAUAAUGUUUUUCUUAGGGUUGGUGGGAAUUAAAAAGCGUGAAAAGUCAAUUUUAUUUUUAUUCUGCAAAUUGGCAAAAUCAAGUCGGCGGAUUCGUAAACCAACAAAUUAAAAAAUCCUGGCCUUAUGGGCCCAGUUUUCAAGUUGGUCCAAAUCAGGAUUCCAUAUCAAGUAUUGUGCAAUAGCAAGAAAUUUUCAAUUGCACAGUAUUGCACAAUAGCAAGAAAUAUCUAAUUGCACAAUAUUGUGCAAUAGCAAUUAAUUUUUCAAUUGGAGUUAUCUUUCUUUGUAUAGAAUAGUAGUUGAUAAUAUAUGUUGGAAAUUUUCCAGACAUGACUAUGAUGUCAUUUUCUAUUUUUAUUUCUAUUUUUAUUUGCAAUAACUUUUAUGUAAAUAACUUCAUUAAAUUUGCCAAUAUAAAAUGUUGCUGAUGAAGCUUUUUUUCUUAUCUAUCUAAAAUGUUUUUAGAUAAUGUAGUUGGACAUUUGCCAGACAUGACUAUGAUUUCAUUUUCUAUUUUUAUUUGCCAAUAACUUUAUGUAAAUAACUUCAUUGGAAAUUUGUCAAUAUAAAAUGUUGUUGAUGAAGUUUUUUUUAUUGUUUUAUACAAUAAACAAUGUAUAUUUACUUUUACUACCAACCAAUCUUUACCAUUCAGUGAUAACAAGCACUUUAUUUUACAUUUUAAUAUUUUAUGAUGUAUUUAAAAGAGUAGUUAUUGUUGCAAACUCCAUUAGAAAUUUUGAUUGAUAUCAGUUUUGAAAAAGGAAACGGGGAUGUGAAAAAAAGGGGGGGGGUUAAAUUUUUCUCAUUUCAGAUUUCAUAAAUAAAAAGAAAAUUUCUUCAAACACUUUUUUGAGAGGAUUAAUAUUCAUUCUUGUCAGAAACCUAUGCUUGUGUCAACUAUUUAAUUUUAGAUUUAAAAAGUUGAAGAAGAAAUCUUAAUUGAUUGUAAAAUUUGACAUUUGUUUUGUGUAUAAAAAAACAUGUAAUGUCAAAAAUUUGAUCACAAUCCAAUUCAGAGCUGUAUCACGCUUGAAUGUUUGUCAUACUUGCCCCAACUGUUCAGGUUCGACCUCUGCGGUCGUAUAAAGCUGCGCCCUGCGGAGCACCUGGUUCUCAUUGUAAUAUUAUGUACCAAGUUAUUUGUUAACUGGCAAAACUUUAAUUUGCCUACAAAGCCAUGUUUAUUUAAGCUAGUUUAUAUAUUAAAAAGUUGCGAGUUUACAAUGUUUACCUCUUUAAAAUAAGAAUUGCCGAAAGGAUGUUAAAAGUGUUUAAAAGUAAAAUUAUCAGGGCAUCUAAAGUACUAAUUAUAAUAUAUACAUGCAUUAACUGUACUUGAAGGAAGUCUUCCUAAUAAAGGGAUAACAUAUUAUUGACAUUGUUAGAUAAAUAAGAGAGAACUUAGGUAAAUAGUUUCCUGUAUAUCACUUCCUGUACAAGGGUUUGGAUUGGAGAACAGACUUUGUACAUGUAAUCUGAGUUGUAAGUUUUAUUUUCUACUUUUAAAUGAAUUUAUGUGUAUAUUAGUAUAUUUAUUUACAGUACUUGUUUAAUACUUUGUAUGUUGAAUCUUUUUGGUGUGUAAUAAGAUAGAAAUUUGUAUCCAUUUUAAAAUAUUUUUCUUUUCUUAUUUCGAAAAAAAUGUACCUAGCCUUCAAAAUUGGGCUAAACACCACAACCAGAGGUUGUUUGUCAAUCAAAAAGGUUACAACUAUUUGGUUUUCCCCUUUAUUAGAGGGAAUGUGAAUUUAAAACUUUGUGAAUGUGUUAUUUAGAUUGUAAUUCUCUUUAUGACUAAUAUCUUGAGAGUGAAGGGUUGACUUGUUGUGGCUUACCUAGAAUAUAAUAGUACAUUAAGUAAGUUUUUUUCAGUCUGUACAUCUGUCUUGUAAGUUUGUGUGUGUCAAGUAUGUGGUUAAAGUUAUUGUUUGAAAGUACAUGUAGUUCAAUUACUAGGAAGUUGUGGUCACAAUGUUUACAUGUUCAGUAUAAUGUGUACUUUUUAAAAAUAUAUACAUGUAUAUACAAAACCAGAGUUUUGACCAAGAUUUUGCAGUAAACUAAGCUUGACUGGGUUGAUUCUAGUGCACACCAUUUGAAAUAAUUUUUUGGUGUACAAGGCAUCUCUUAUUUAGCCUCACUCUACUUGACUUUGUUAGGAUCUCCCUCUACUAGAAACCUUAGCACCUUUCAUGGUGUUUAAUGCACACAUUUUUCUCUCCCAAUCUUGAAACAACCAGUUUUGAUUUCAUCUACAUAAUAUUGUUAAGGACUCUCAAGUAGUUAGUGAAUUCUCUUCUUGUUUUUCCCAAAUUUGACUUAAAUACACUUAUAAAUGUAAAACACAGUUAUAUUAUAUUUAUUUUCAAGUAAUUAUAUAAUGAUUAAGCAUGUUAAGGGAAACAAAUCAGUAAAGUCAUGAAAGUGUUCCAACAAAAAUAAUUAGUGAUGCACUUAGCAUUAAAAGGAUUUGAACAAAUAUAAUUGGCGUACCAGUUAAAUACAUGCAUUGUAAAGUAGUCUUAAUAGCAGAGGUCAGGAAUUUAAUCAAUUAUAAGUGCAUUAUGCAUUUAUAGAUCACAUUCCAGGAAGUACUAUCUUGUGUAAAACGAAUGUACAUUCUACAAAAAGUGUAUGUGAUAUUUUUUUUUGUUUCUUUAAUAUCUACCUCCUGAGAAGAAUACAAAUAUUAAAACAAUAACACAGUUUAAGCAUGCUACAUUGUGUGUACAUAUCAAAAUUUGUAUUCAAGAAUUUAUUGAUAAUACAUUAAAUAACAAAAAAAAAAAGGGGCUGGGGACCCAUACUUCUGAUAUUUGUGAAAAGGGGGGAAUGAAAAAUUAAGAUACAUUCCAAUGUAAAAGUUUGAAAACAAAAUCUUUGUCACCCAUUUUGGAAUUUGAUUAACAUGAUUAAAACUGGAGCAGAAGUGCUCUAAUAAAAAAGACGAAUUCAGGAGCAAACAUUUGGAAGUAUUUUUUUUUUAGCUCACUGGGCCCUUCCACCUGAAGUGAGCUUUUCUUUAAGUGGUUUAAUCCACUAUUUUCUACAUUUGAAAAUGCCUGUACGAAGUCAGGAAUUAUGACAGUUCUUGUCCAUUUCGUUUUUGAUGCGUUUUGUUAUUUGAUUUUGCCAUGUGAUUAUGGACUUUCCGAAUUGAUUUUCCUCUAAGUUCAGUAUUUUUGUGAUUUUACUUUUUUCUCAUGUCAUGUUGUUCGUCAUCUGUGAACUUAUACAAAAAUAUUCUCCUCUGAAACCAAACUUGGCAGAAGUCAUGUAAGUCAUCAUUGAGGCAUUAAGUUUUUAAAAAUGUGUCUGAUGACCCCUCCUGCCAACCAAGGAUGCAGACUUGACCAAGAAAAGAACAUAGGGUGGGGUACAAUACAAUAGUCAUGGACUUUUCUAUUUAAUAUAAAAAAAAAAUGUGCAGGUAUGAUUGUCAAUGAGACAACUUUUCACACAAAAAUUUACAGCUAUAUGUGACAAUUGUCACCACAACGGGCUUCACCAAUGUGCAAAGCCCAUACCAUAUAGUCAGCUAUGAAAGGCCAUAAAAUGACAAAUGUAAAACAAUUCUCAACUAUACAUGUAAAACUGAAAUGUGAAUCAAUGAUUUGUAAUUCAGCACAAAAAUCUCUCAAUCCUGUCCAUCAGUUAUUUCAUUCCUUUUGAUUUUUGAUACUGCCUAUAUCUAAUGAACAUGAUUUUUGAUACUGCCUAUAUCUUAUGAACAUGAUGAAGUUAUUUGAAAUUUAAGUACGACAUGUAUUAAAGUAGUCUAGUAGAUUAUACGGAGAAACAUUAAACAUGUACACGCAGAAACUGUGACAAGUGUACAUAAUUGAUGCUCUUAUAAAAACAGAUAGAAAUAAAUAUUGAUUUGUUUUUAACAAAUACAGAGCUAGAUUACUGACAUUUUAGUACAUAAGCCUACAUUUAUAGAAACCUUUUAAUCCUUACUUAUCAAUAACAAUAUAAUAUGAUAUACAAUGGACACUGGACAUCAACAUGAGCUGUUGAUCUAUGUAAUAAAACCUUGUCAUGAACAGAUGUUGUCAUUAUAAAGGCAUAUUAUUUUAUUUUAUAGGACAAAUCCAGCAGUGAAUUGAACUUGAAGAUUAGAAAGGAAUUGUGAUUCGUCCUUGCAUAGAAGGUUUGUACAUGCACAGAUCUAAAUUUUAAUUGAUUAAAAUAAAUUUUGUUGGAAUACCAGCUGCAUUAAUUAUAUUUUGUAAUUGUUUAAAUUCCAAUGAAUAUUUGAUCAAGCCAUUCAAGGUCACCACUUGAAUAAUAUUGUACAUUUUGAAAGUAACGGAGACUAAAAGACCACUUUCGAAUUUGUCCAUCAAUGAAAAAAAACUCUUCAAUUAUGUGCGCCUUUAUGACUUCAUUUACCAGAUAGAGAGGAUCACCUGUAUCCCUGCACUAUUAACGUUUAUCAAGCGUCUAAGUGAUCAUCAUUGUGCAGGAUAAACUGGAAAUAAUAUUUGUCCUGUAGGUACCUUAUCACAAUUCCCUUACGUUAGCAGUGCUGAAUAUCAAUUAUAUGAAUUUAAUUUGCUGAAUAAUUCGUGCAAUAUAGCAUUAUCAUUUUUUCCUCCAAUCACUCAACAAAAGAACAGAAGUGAUGACGCCCCUAAACGCACAAAUGAUGUUCACUAAAACCAAAGUUGUCUAUUAGGGCAAUAAAAUAAUGCCUUUGUUUCUACUACAUGCUGAAAAAAUAAAUGACUCAAGUUGUAGCAAUGAUCGCAUGUUCAUGUACUGUUGAAAGGUGUGAAAAGUAGCUAGUUUUUGAAAAAAAAAAAUGAUAAAAAUUCAAUAGAUUCCUUAUCAGUAGACUUAUACAAUAGUCCUUAUUAUCUUUUACUGAAUUAAUUAUAUAUAUAUAUAAUUUAAUUUUGGAUGUAACGCGUCUUCCGAUUGGCUGACGUUAUUUUGUUAUCAGACCAUAGACAUAAUUUAGUCAUGUGACCGUGACGUCAUCAACGUUUUUUCAAGGUUUGCUAUGGUUUAUAAUGGAAUUUAGAAUUAAAUAUAAGAAAUGACUGUAAUAUUUUUUCUGUCUAUUCGAAAUAACAUAAAAAAUGUGGUGCACUGUUAAAUAACCCGCUACGCGCGUUAUUCAGUGUGCACCACAUUUUUUAUGUUAUUUCUUCAUAGACAGAAAAAAUAUUACAGUCUUUCUUUAAAUAUGUGAAAUAUAAUAUCAGAGUCCAGUUAUGUAAAGAUUGCACAUAGAUAAUUAGCACACAUGAAUUUCAUUCCUCAUUUUAACCAUGAGUUAUAACAGUCAUGACAGUGGAUUUUCUUUGUAUUAUACUCCUCUUGUAUAAUACAGAAUGUACAUGUUUAUGUGACACAUUUUAUUAGGUGUAUAUAUCUAACAUAUCCUAUACUGAUAUUUUGUAUUUCUAUCUCACAGAAAUAAACAAAAUGAAUGUCUAUCGCCAGCCAGCGCAGUGGGAAGACAAACGCACAAAAGAUUUACGGAAUCAAGUUACACUACUGAAUACACAUCUUGGUGUACAAAGGUCAAAGUUGUCAUCAACGAUACCAGAACUCGUGCAAUACUGUGAGAAGCACGCUGUACAGGAUCCUUUCCUAUUUCCUAUUAGAGACAAUCCUUUUAAACCAAUAAGACGACCGUGUUGUAUUAUAUAGAAGAUAACUGGAUCAAAACAUGUGUGAAUGUGAUAAAUAUGUGGUAAUUAUACAAUAUUUAGUACACAGUUACAAGGAGUAGUGGAUUUAGAUAUUAGAAGAUGUGGCAUGACUGCCAAUGAGAAAACUCUCCAUCUAAGUCACAAUUAUUAAAAAGUAAACUUCUAUAGGUCCAACUACAGCCUUGAACAUAGAGGAACCUAAUAUAAGCUCACACCAAACAGCAAGCUAUAAACUUAAAAGAGCCCUAAAAAUUACAUGUUGUGUAAAACAAUGUUUUACAGGAAAACAAACGGUCUAAUCUUUAUAAAAAAAACAAUGAGAAACUCAUGAAUCACAUCAACAAACGACAACCAAUGAACAAGAGGUAGAGAGAGGAACAUGAAUCUGUCUGUUCUGUUUACAGUUUAACAGACAAAGAGAAAUAAAUGCAUUAUCCAACGUUACCAAUAUUCAAUGUUUAUAGCUUUCUUGACCAUGUUUACCAUUCAGUGCUCUCAACCACUUAGAUUAAUGAUAGGAAAAGAUAUUUGAUGUAUCUUACUGGAUCAGUAAGUUUCCAAUGAUAUGCUCAUAUAAAUAGUUUUGUUCUUUUUGACAUUUACCUUUCUAAAGCUACAUGUAUGCCCUUACCAAACCAACUUUACCGUGCGUAUUGUUGUGCGUUUUUUUUUUCUACAUUGGCUAGAGGUAUAGGGGUCUAAGGGUUGAGAUCUCAAAAAACAUGUUUAACCCGGCCGAAUUUAUGCGUCUGUCCCAAGUCAGGAGCUUCUGGCCUUUGUUAGUCUUGUAUGAUUUUUAAUUUUAGUUUCUUGAGUGUAAUUCGGAAUUUAGCAUAACAUCCAUUUUCACUGAACUAGUAUUUAUAUUUGUUUAGGGGCCAGCUGAAGGACGCCUCUGGGUGCGGGAGUUUCUCGCUGCAUUGAAGACCCAUUGGUGGCCUUCUGCUGUUGUCUGCUCUUUGGCUGGAUUGUUGUCUCUUUGACACAUACCCCAUUUCCAUUCUCAAUUUUAUGAAAAUUAGUGUUUAUUUCCUUUCUUGAUGAUUAUUUAAAAAAGUUCUACUUUGCCAAUUCAAAAGACAUUUGUAAUACAUUGCUUUGAAACAUUGCUUUGAAACAGGUAAUUUUAAUUUGCGAUAAAAGAUUUUUUUCUGCUGGCAAGAGUAGAUGUGAUCAUGCCACUUGAUUGCAUGCAUGUUUCUAGAUUCUGUUGAUAAAUUCCAAUGUCUAAUGAAAUACAAUCUUAUUAUUUAUAAUGAGGUAAAUAUUGACAUGCCUAUUUUUUUUUUUUUCAGAUUCAACAAAUGAUAGAAGUAACUGUAAUACAUAUAUUUUCCACGAAGAAGAAAUUCUGUUGUUGUAGCUGUUAAAAUAGUAAAUGGUCAGUGGAGCUGUUCAAGAUGUUUAUUGUCAGUGGCUUAUAUAUGAUGCUAUUAAUUGCCUUCAAAACUCUGUCAAAAUUACUAUAGUGCCAUUGCUAAAUAGAAAACCAAGAAAAUCUUUUGAAUUUUUUUUAAACUAAAAAAAAUAUUAUAAAAAAAAUUAUAUAUAUUCAUUGCUUAAUAAAUCAUGCCAAACUAGAUAUUUGCUUGUGUGCCUUUAAGUGUGGGUGCUAAUAUAGACAUAUUCAAGAUCUUUAUUGUAUUCCUAUUGAAAUUUGUGAUUUGUGUGAUGUUUAUAUUUUUUUAUAUUGUGAUUACUUUAUUUUGUAUGAUAAAUCAUCUUUUUGACUAUUUGUGCCAGUAAAAUUCCUUCAAAUUCAAAAAGAUAAUGAAAAAAAUGUAUUAAAUUCAUUAUUUAUCCAAAUGAAACUUAAGCUGUAUUCUUUGUUGAUAAUUAACCAUAAGAUUAAUUUUUUUACUUUGAUACGAAAAAUGUAUGUAUAAAAACUGACUUGCUAUUGCCAAAGAUGAUUCCAUUUGGAAAGCUAAUAUGUUUUUUUUAACAAAGCAAAUAGUAACUUCGGACAACAAUUUAUGUUAGUUCUGUUUUGUUUAGUAAUUUUCUAUUUAACUGUUUGAAUGUCAUUUAUUAAAGUGCACAAUAUUAAAUGAUUAUUAAUUUUCUGCUCAACUUUCUUUUUUAGUGGGUUUUAAAUUCACAAUUUUUUCUAGGGGCCAAAACUGUUUGAAUGAUUUUUUGACAUUUUUUCCUGUUUCGCAUUCCAUUAAGAUAAAAUCUAAACCAGUGGAUAUUUUCACAACGUUGUCUAUGAAAAAAUAAGGAAAUUUAUUCCAUAUUGAUAAAACUU
rnacentral:lncRNA from 1 species